rnacentral:rRNA from 1 species
ACGCUCGACACCUACGGGAGACAGCAGUUAGGAAUAUUGGGCAAUGGAGGAAACUCUGACCCAGCAACGCCGCGUGAAGGAAGAAGGUUUUCGGAUUGUAAACUUCUGAUCUAGGGGAAGAAGGAAGUGACGGUACCCUAGGAGAAAGCCACGGCUAACUACGUGCCAACAGCCGCGGUAAUCUGAGCGGGCUGGCAAGGC